UAUCUCUGAACUAUAGAACAUUAUCUAUAAUCGAUUUUAAUUCAUGUCGGACACCCGAAGAAGUUCAUUUUUACUUCUCUCGUUCUUAAAUGAAAAAAUAAAAGAGGAGCUUGGGAAUCAUUUCAUUAGCCAAAACAAAGAGAGGUUAAAAAGCUGUUACUGAAAGCGUUGAAAGUGUUGUUGAAACUAGGAAAAUGUUGAAAGUUAUGAAACUCAAAGUGCUUGUCGAUCCAGAAGUUUCUGCUGAUACCCUUUUGCUGGAAACUUCACCACAGGACGAGGGGUAAGUUUUGGUGACAAAACGAAUCCGACGUUCCAAACCGAUUGUGAUGGACGGCACUCUCUCCAUAUAACAUUUAACUGGACAUCGAGUUGGCUUUGAUCUUACCAGUCAAAGUGUGCUCAGUGAUGUUGCCUUUGAUAUCGAACCCAUCGCCACCAUCGGCCAAAAAGCUAGGCAUCGCCACGUCAUAGAUUUCCUAAUGUCAACCUUGGGCUGGACCGGACUGUAGGCUGGAAUACGACAAUUGUUGCAUCGUGCCAAAAGCUCUACCACUCUAUCACCUGUGGGCCUAGCUAUGUCGUACGCAACUUGGAGACCUGUGGAUCAUUGCUCGAUAGAAAAAACAUUUAAAAGAAUUCGUGAAAGAAAAACCAUUUACCUGAAACCUGCAGAAAUCCACCGAAGGGAUCCAGAGCUGAUGGAUCGUAAUCAUGCACUGUAAACUCGAAAAUAUUCUUCAGCGUUUCACCGCUGAUUUUGACGAUGUCUACUGUAUUACUGAAAGGAGCGACUGAAAGAAGGUCACCGUACGUGAUGGAUCCUGCAAGACGGAAUCCACUUGUAGAUUUUUAAAAGAACUCGUCAUUAAGUGAAUUCACCAUUUUGGGCGCGCUCAUCGAUGGAUGCCCUGACUCCGCCGCCAUUGACGAGAGCGAUAGCCACUUUACUCCACUGACCCUCGCCUGCAAACUUGGUGAACUGCAUUAAAGCUAUAAACGGUUAUUCAAGGAUUGCCGUGGUAUCUUAUUAGCAUACCAAAUCAACGUAGGCGUCAGCAAUAAAAUUUCCAAGAUUGCAUUCAACCAUGCGACAGGACAGACGAUUACCAUCCAAGAAGACGAGCGUUUUUCCAACUUCUUUCUCUGACAAAGCUUCGACUUCUUUUCGAAAUGGGAUCAGUUCCUGCAGGACGUGUGGAUCUGCAUCGUGGAUGAAACGAUGGCAGAUGUGUAAUUUACGACCAGUAGGAUUUACAACUACAAUAGUACCUCGAGGUAUGGUCUUAUCCAUGAGAAUCGGUAGGCCAGCAGUAGCGAUCACAUCUCCAUCGUCGUUAAAAGUCACCAUUAAGUUGCCCAGAUAUUUGCCAAAGGCGAAUGCCUGAACGACGGGCACUUCCUUCCCAGACGGUUGCUUCACCAUGGUCGGAUAUGGACCUUGUGGAAUUUCGAUGGACGGAGCCGGACCUGCACGUUAAUGGAUUCGAGCUGAAAGUGAUUACACUAACAGCUUACCGUUCCAGAGAAAUGUGUUGGUAUGACCGCCUACCACCACGUCGAUAUCUGGCACCUGUUCAGCGAUUUCCAUAUCUUUGAGAUAACCCGCGUGACCGACUGCAAUUAGAAUAUUGACUCCAUCCUUUUUAAGGCGUUCUGCUUCUUCUCGAACGCCUUGAAUUUCGUCAAAGACUUUGACUGCGUCCAAGGUGGAGAUGUACUGCCAUUUGUGAUCAAGAGCCAAAAGAAGAUGUCAUUUAUAAUUUUCACAUCACCAAUUUUGUUAGAAAAAUGUUUUAUCACCGAUGUUUCAACCGUCAGGUAGCCAAUGAUGCCUACCCUGUGUCCACCUACUUGGACGACUACUGAUUUCGGAAUUUUCCCAUGAAGCCAAGAGUUCCAGGAAGAAAGUUCAAUCAGAGUUUACAGAGGCAUAAUUGAUUAAAAGAAAAGGUAUUUUUACCGGAUGGUUGGCUGCAUUCACGAACGGUGCCAGCCCCGCCACGCCAUCAUCAAAUUCAUGGUUGCCAAGAGACUACUCAGCACAAAAGGAUGAGGGAAAAAAAUCAAAAAUUAAUUGCUAAAAAUUUCUAAUCCCUACAUGUCGUGCCUGUAAACGUUUUGACAGCACAAUUGAUAAUAAUGAACGUUCAAUAUGUGCUGCCAGGCUUUCCGACGGAUGUGUACAAAGCAUAGGGCGUUUCCCCAUUCGUGGUUGUCUAAACCAGGAAAACGCGCUACAUCAAUAAUUAAGAAACAAAUUUAUCAACGUGAGUGUAAACAAACGGACCGUUAACGCGCUGCCACAUGGGUGGGAAAACUGUCGGCGAUGAUCACGCAAAAAACGCAGCUUUUUUUUCAUUCCAUUACAAGCAGAUAAGAAGGAUUUCAACAACUCGCAUUGUGAAAAUCAUUGGAAUAGAAAGUGGCCGUUAAAAAGAAUGACGGACGUUUUCCAUUGUCCAUUUCAACAUAGGCUACCUCGAUAAACCUAAUAACCACAGUGAAUGGAAAGGAAAAGGAUUGUUUGGCUUCUUGGCCGGACCACUAUGCUACAGAAACAUCUGUCUUUAGAAAGCGAAACAACGGAGGAAACAUGAAUAACUUACCAUGGCCGUUAAGUUGAGCAAGUUACCGAAGUGGCUGACGGCCUUCCAUUUAUGGAUGGUAUACCAUCUGUCGGCGAGACCAAAUACGUAAACCAAAUACGUAAACCAAACGCCAAUCAGAAGUAGCAAAGCAGGCAAGGAGAUGUAAAUAUUGCACAGCAUUUGUUCUCACAUGGUGCCUUGGAAGAAAUCACCGCCAUUUAAAAAAAUUGUGUCCGGAUGCUGUUCACGAAUUUUUCGAGCUUGAUGGACCAGACGGGCAUAUCCACCGAAACAAUUGCCAUCCUCCGAGUCUCGUUGUUUGCACGCCCCACCGAGUUUGUUGGCCUCUUCGAAACGGCAAUGGAUAUCGUUAGUGUGUAGGAUAGUCAAAUUAAACGAAGCUGAUGCCUGCUUGACAACGAAAGAUACACAAAACAGACCCAACAGCCUCAACCACAUGAGUACGGUAUUACGUGUCGACCAGUCCUGCAUUUUCUGCUCAACUGUGGACAAAAUUUUGAGCGUUCAGCGUUAUAUUGCUCACCAAACUGGAAAUAGGCGUCGCCACAAGCUGUCUACUAGCUUUCGGAGAGAGGAGACUAAAUCCGAAGGACGUAACCAGCAAGAGUCAUCUCCUAUUCAAAGUGAGUGAACUUCUUUUGCCAUUUGAUAGCAAAUAAGCCGUCUGGUCCAUAUUGCAGACGAAAUCUCUCGCUGCUGAUAUCCUAUAGUUCUCGUUAGCGUGGGACUUACAUAAGCUCUUAUUAUGCAGUUUCGUCUCAUUUUAGCCUGUCAUUUUAAGAACAACUCAGUAGGUACUUGCACAGUAAAUUUGUGGCGACGACUUCUUCCUGGAAAUGAAUUUGUUUUUAAGUUUCUGUUGUAGCUUGUAACCAAUAGUAAAUUUCAAUUGGACUCUAUCGAGAAUCAAACCCUUAAUUAGCGGCACACCUAUCCCAUGCUCGACCAUUGAGCCAUGAUUCACAUUUUAUUGCUCACUAUUUCUCCAUAUGAUUUAGGAGGUAAAUCGAUGAAAUAUAGCUUCCCUUCGCAGAUUCCCUUCGGGAUUCGGGUUGCUAUAAGAAGCUAGCCCAGAUGCCAAUCGUCUUGAUCCCUCUCCCUUUGAUUGCGAUUCGAGUCAACGCAUUCCAUCAUGCCAGCGAUUGCAGACGUUGUUCGACCAUUCUUUUCACAGGAUUUUAUGACUGGACUUCCUGCAAUUCCUGAUACCAUCUGUCCUAAGAGGUUGUAGACAAGAUGGCUGAAGCCGUCUUAACUGUUCCAGCAAUUUCCAAGGUCCUGUAUGACCUGACGGCGAAACCACCGGAGAAAACGGAGUGGGGAUGAUUUGAUUUACGAACGUUGCUUAGGCAAAUGAUCUCCACACUCUUUAUAGGACAAGGAUACGGAGUUUUAUCAUGACCAGACUUAGAUGGGAGAUAUUACGAACAUUGGAUUCAGUAUAGACUUUUGAAAUUAAAAAAUUUAUUAGCUUUGUCGUCUCGUGAAAAUCUCUUUAACUCGCUUUUUAAGAGGAGUUCACGUGAUGACUUGUCUAUUUCUUAAUAUACGUGCACACUUGUCGGAAA